GCUGGCGGCAGGCCUAACACAUGCAAGUCGAACGGAGUUAUAUUGUAGCUUGCUAUGGUAUAACUUAGUGGCAGACGGGUGAGUAAUGUAUAGGAAUCUACCUAGUAGUACGGAAUAAUUGUUGGAAACGGCAACUAAUACCGUAUACGCCCUACGGGGGAAAAAUUUAUUGCUAUUAGAUGAGCCUAUAUUAGAUUAGCUAGUUGGUGGAGUAAUAGCCUACCAAGGCAAUGAUCUAUAGCUGAUCUGAGAGGAUGAUCAGCCACACUGGAACUGAGAUACGGUCCAGACUCCUACGGGAGGCAGCAGUGGGGAAUAUUGGACAAUGGGCGAAAGCCUGAUCCAGCCAUGCCGCAUGAGUGAGGAAGGCCUUUGGGUUGUAAAGCUCUUUUAGUGAGGAAGAUAAUGACGGUACUCACAGAAGAAGUCCUGGCUAACUCCGUGCCAGCAGCCGCGGUAAUACGGAGAGGGCUAGCGUUAUUCGGAAUUAUUGGGCGUAAAGGGCGCGUAGGCGGAUUAGUAAGUUAAAAGUGAAAUCCCAAGGCUCAACCUUGGAAUUGCUUUUAAAACUGCUAAUCUAGAGAUUGAAAGAGGAUAGAGGAAUUCCUAGUGUAGAGGUGAAAUUCGUAAAUAUUAGGAGGAACACCAGUGGCGAAGGCGUCUAUCUGGUUCAAAUCUGACGCUGAGGCGCGAAGGCGUGGGGAGCAAACAGGAUUAGAUACCCUGGUAGUCCACGCUGUAAACGAUGAAUGUUAAAUAUGGGAAGUUUUACUUUCUGUAUUACAGCUAACGCGUUAAACAUUCCGCCUGGGGACUACGGU
rnacentral:rRNA from 1 species